rnacentral:lncRNA from 1 species
CUGGGGUAUAGCUCAGGGGUACAGAGUAUGUAAGUUCCUGGGUUAGAUCUCCAGCACUGCAAAAACUAAAAUAAAGAAUUACAAAAAUAUACCCUUCACCCAGCUUCCCUGAAUGCCAGCAUCUUUUUCUCCACCAGCAUGUGUAACAGUGGACAAGCAAAACCCAGAAAUUGAUCUUGGAGUACCGCCGCCGUUAACCCAAGCGGCUGACCUUGUUCAGCUUUCAGCAGUGCUUCCGGUGCGUGGCUUCUGUUCCGGGAUGCAGUCGGAUCCCACGUUGCCGCGGUGGACGCUCCUCUCCAGUCUUCCCUGAUGGGGUCUUUCAAGUGUCCUGGCCAGUGGUUUGGUAGAACAGCCUCCAGAGGGGGCUGGUGUGAUUCUUUCGAGGGUGCGUUUGGGGCGGGCAUUUGAGUUCGCGGUGCUGAUAGGUCCCCAAGCUGGCGAGGAUGACCGUGGCCACUGGAGGGCGUCUGCUGGGCUUCUCCUUGCAGCUUCUUUUGGGAAGAAAUCCAGCCUCUUCGGAGGUUGCACGGUAAUGGGAUCCACGUUUUUUUCUAAGUUAGAGUUAGAGAAGAAACUAGGAGGCACAGCUUAUCUUUAAAGCGCUUAAUAUUUCCCGACUGUAAAAAGAGUUCAUUUAUGAGAAGAUGAACAGAAGAAAUUUGAGAAAAUAUAAAAUCACCAUUCUUAACACUUUCAACGUUUUGAUUUAUUAUGCCCUAUUUAUUUAAUUGUUUGAAAGGUCUCGACUUAUAAAAGAAAAAUAGUCAAUAAAUAACAAAUGUGAGCAAAGUGGAGAAGAAAUAGAAGGGAAGACAAGUGAGUUGAGAGAUAGAGGCAGUGUCAGUGUCUUCAUAACAGUCUGUUUUUUGUUUCUGUAGUACCAG